rnacentral:rRNA from 1 species
AUUGAACGCUGGCGGCAGGCCUAACACAUGCAAGUCGAGCGGAGCGGCGGACGGGUGAGUAAUGCCUAGGAAUCUGCCUGGUAGUGGGGGAUAACGUUCGGUAACGGGCGCUAAUACCGCAUACUAUCAGAUGAGCCUAGGCCGGAUUAGCUAGUUGGUGGGGUAAAGGCAUACCAAGGCAACGAUCCGUAACUGGUCUGAGAGGAUGAUCAGUCACACUGGAACUGAGACACGGUCCAGACUCCUACGGGAGUCAUCAGUGGGGAAUAUUGGACAAUGGGCUGAAUCCGGAUACAGCCAUGCCGCGUGUGUGAAGAAGGUCUUCGGAUUGUAAAGCACUUUAAGUUGGGAGGCGUUACCAACAGAAUAAGCACCGGCUGACUUCGUGCCAGCAUCCGCGGUAAUAG